GACAGAGGCCCCGAGCGUUAGGCGGAAUCACUGGGCUUAAAGCGUGUGUAGGCGGGCCCGUAAGUGUCUUGUGAAAUCCCACGGCUCAACCGUGGAACUACUGGGCAUACUGCGGGUCUUGGGCCAACUAGGGGCAGCCGGAACAAGCGGUGGAGCGGUGAAAUGCGUAGAUAUCGCUUGGAACGCCGAAGGUGAAAACAGGCUGCUGGGGUUGCGCCGACGCUGAGACACGAAAGCCAGGGGAGCAAACGGG
rnacentral:rRNA from 1 species